AGUGAACGCUGGCGGUAGGCCUAACACAUGCAAGUCGAACGGCAGCACAGUAAGAGCUUGCUCUUACGGGUGGCGAGUGGCGGACGGGUGAGGAAUACAUCGGAAUCUACUUUUUCGUGGGGGAUAACGUAGGGAAACUUACGCUAAUACCGCAUACGACCUACGGGUGAAAGCAGGGGAUCUUCGGACCUUGCGCGAUUGAAUGAGCCGAUGUCGGAUUAGCUAGUUGGCGGGGUAAAGGCCCACCAAGGCGACGAUCCGUAGCUGGUCUGAGAGGAUGAUCAGCCACACUGGAACUGAGACACGGUCCAGACUCCUACGGGAGGCAGCAGUGGGGAAUAUUGGACAAUGGGCGCAAGCCUGAUCCAGCCAUGCCGCGUGGGUGAAGAAGGCCUUCGGGUUGUAAAGCCCUUUUGUUGGGAAAGAAAAGCAGCAGAUUAAUACCCCGCUGUUCUGACGGUACCCAAAGAGUAAGCACCGGCUAACUUCGUG
rnacentral:rRNA from 1 species